GGCUGGUCCAAAGGUAGUGAGUUAUCUCAACUGACCAUUCACAGUCAGUUACAGAUCAAAUUUUUUGUUCUCUUCUUUUACCGCUUCUCACUACUGUACUUGACUAGUCUUAG
rnacentral:Y_RNA from 1 species